UGCGUUCUUAGCUCAGUUGGUUAGAGCAUCACCUUGACAUGGUGGGGGUCGAUGGUUCAAAUCCAUUAGAACGCAU
rnacentral:tRNA from 1 species